rnacentral:rRNA from 9 species
GACGUUGUGAGAAGUUCAUUAAACCUUAUCAUUUAGAGGAAGGAGAAGUCGUAACAAGGUUUCCGUAGGUGAACCUGCGGAAGGAUCAUUG